rnacentral:SRP_RNA from 1 species
GCCAGACAUGGUAGUCCAUACCUGUAAUCUCUUCUGUUGGUGAGGCUGAGACUGGUGGAUUGCUUGUGUUUGGGAGUUCUGAGCUGCAGCAGGGCUAAACUCAUUAAGUGUCCAUACCAAGUCUGUUACCAAUAUGGUGGCCCCCUCAGAGGGUCAUCAGGCUGUCUAAGGAAGGGGGAAGUAGCCAAACAUGAAAAAAUAGCAGGUCAAAGCUUCCAUGCUGAUCAGUAAUGGGAUCAGGCCUGUGAGUGACCCCUACAUUUCUGGCCUGAGAUAGGAAGACCCAGGCUCAA